AUGAAAACUAGGUGGGGGGCAUCUUAGAAUUCUUCGCGUCCACAAGUGCGAUGAAUGAUAGGCACGAGUUCAUAUUUGGUUGAGCUGCAAAUAAUUCUCUUGCAUCUUUGCUCAUGAAAAUUGUGCAGGCAGAAUUCCAAAAUGGAGUAUCUGGGAAGCACAUUUGGAAGCUCAACCAUUAACUUGAUGCAUGCGGUUGGAGUAGACACAGAUGACUCUUGUACAGGAUAUGUCAUUGUGGUUGCACUUCUGUUUGACAUGAUAUCUAUCAUUGAAUCAAUUUAAUUGGAUAGAUGCUCCCCAGUUGUUACCUUUUUAUUUAUUUUCACGUUACUAAGAUUCUCGUUUGAUGGCCUCUUUGAUUGGCAAUUUGAUGGCCCAGAAAACACCUCAGACACCAUUUUUGAUAAAGAACUGUGUGAGGGGGUAAGUUCUUAAAAGUCUCUUAUUUCAAUCUUAAUCAACACUGUUAGCAUCUUAACCAAAUAUAUUUUAGAUUAUUCAAGAAAUAUCUUAAUUAAUAUUAGUACAUGAAUUGGUGAUAUCUAAGUACAUGAAUGUAUUUGAAUUGUCUUGGAACAUGUAAUGGUUAGGUUCAUGUACAUGAAUGUGCAUGGUCAUGUAGUAAUUAUUAUUGUGGAUCUAGAAGUGUCCUAUGAGUCCUAUAAAUAGUCUUGUACUUGGAUCAUUUUAAUCAAGUGAAAUUAAAGUAUUCUUAAGUGUUCUUCAAAGUUAUAUUUCACUUCUUUUAUAAUUUAUCAUCUUCCAUAAAUUUCCAACAAGUGGUAUUAGAGCUAAGGUUAAUUCUAAGGUAAAAUCGAUGACCCAAGAAAGGUGACUUAGUGCUAUCAAAGUAUUUCGCUGGGCGAGUGCAAAGUGUGCGCGUUAUAGCUCCGAAUUGCAAUCUAACAAAUGUGUUAGUUGAGAAAAUUUUUGAAGAAGUUUGUGAGUUGAAGCACGUCACAAAGAUUGUCAUAUUGAUAGCAUUUUUGGUGAGGUAAAUUUUAAAAAAAUGAUGUUUCCUAGGUUUGGCGCCAAAUUAGUGUUCGCAAAUUACAAUGUUUGGAGUAUAAGGAUUCGAGUAUUUCUUGGAGAAUGCAAUUUAUGGCAAGAUGUCAUUGCAAAUCCAGAAAAGUGUAUUUCAGAAAAAGUUCGAGAAAUGAAAGAAAAAAGAAUAAGGAAGAUUUUGCGAGUAAUGCAUGAAGAAGUCUGGAUGCGUGUUGCGAGUUUUGAUUCUCUAUCUCAGUUAUGGAAUGAGCUUGAAUUGAUUUGCAAGAAUUAUAAAGGUUCAUCGUUACCUAAAGAGUCUUGGUUUUUGGAAGAGGAUGAGAAACUUGUAGAAGAAAUUGAUGAAGUUGAAGAAGAAGAAGAAAAGAAAAAUGAAGACUUUGAAGACAUAUGUCGGGAAGCAAAAAAAAUAGAUCAUGUCCAUGAUUGUACGAUUUUUCCUUUCGCAAACACCAUUUUGUUGCGGUGUAUAGCGAACUGUCAAUUCAUGCCUUAUGCCAUUAUCUUUACAAAAAUGCUGAAAAUCAUUUGAAAGAUACUCCGACCCUCGAUCUGUUCUCAAAGUCUUUAUGUGACAACCAGAAAAUUUUUCAACUUCUGCUUUAAAAUUUUUAAAAGCUUGAAAACUUUCUGAUUUUUCAUGAAGAAAAUAAGUCCACACUUUUCUUGUGUAAUCAUCAAUAAAAGAAAUAAAGUAUUUGUUACCUCCAAAAGAUGACACUGUCAUAGGUCCACACAGGUCUGAAUGAACAAGUUCAAGUGGCUGCUUUGCACCCCAAGAAGAUUUUGAAGGGAAUGGAUUAUGGUGCAACUUUCCCAACUGGCAUGCUUCACAAAUCUCCUCUGAUUUAUUAAUCUGGGGUAAUCCAUUCACCAUUCCUUUCACUGCUAACAAUUUUAGGCUGUCAAAAUUCAAGUGACCAUACCUGUCAUGCCACAACUUGGAAACUUCUUCAUUAAAACCAGCGAAACAAUGAAAAUUUUCCACUUGGAGAAGAAGUGAAAAUAAAUUAUUCUCCGCCAAGCUAAUCUUUGCCACAACCUGAUUAUUUUUCGACAGAGUACAUAAUUUAUCAUGAAAGAAUAUAUCAAACCCUUUUCGUAAAAGUUGUCCAGUACUUAGCAAAUUGCUUUUGAUGCCUGGAACAAAAUAAACAUCUGACAUUUUUUCAAAUUUUCCAGAUUUUGUUUUGAAAGUGACUUCUUCAACUCCUUUAAUUGUAUAGGCUCUAGCAUCACCAAUUUUUAUUUGCCCAAAAUUUGACUCCACCAGGGUAGAAAAUAAAUCCUUAUUCCCUGUCAUAUGUUUGCUGGCACCACUAUCCAAAUACCAAACAUGAUUAUUAUUUUCUUGACAAGCAAUUAAUAAUGACUCUGAACAAUCUUUCUCAACUGAUUCAUUUUCAUGCACUAAUCCCGAUUCUUUUUUGUUAGAUGAUGCAAACCAACAUUCACUGAUUUUAUAACCAGGCCAAUGACAAUGAAAACAUUUAAUAUAUCCUUUUCUCCCUCUUUGAUUGAUAACACGACCUCUUCCUCUUUGAGAAUUGUUUGAAUACUCAAAUGACUCUUCCUUAAAAUUAUUAUUGUUACCUUGUGAUCCUCUUCCAUUGCCACGAAAAUUAGAGUCUCUACCUCUGUUUCCUUGGAAGCCACCUCUUCCACGUCCACGACCUCCUCCACGGCCGCGACCAUGGGGAGCACCUCGGCCUCCCGUAAUUUCAGACUUGAGAGCUUGAUCAUUAGAAGGUGGAUUUCUUUGAUUAACACGAAACUCAUGUGCCUUUAAAGAAGCCUGCAAAUCUUCCAAAAACAAUUUUGACACAUCUUUGGACUCUUCGAUAGCUACCACAAUAAAAUCAAAAUUUUGUGGUAAGCUCCGAAGAAUUUUCUCAACUUUUUGAUCUUGCAAAACUUCUCCAUUAGUUGCCAUUUGAUUAACAAUUGAAGUAACUUUUGAAAAAUAAUCAGCAAUAGUCUCAUUUUCUUGCAUUUUCAACUUCUCAAAUUCUAAACGUAAAGAUUGGAGUCGUACCUUUUUUACCUUUUCUUCACCUUUAUAUAUUGAUUGCAAAAUAUCCCAAGCUUCUUUUGAAGACAUAUGUCAGGAAGCAAAAGAAAUAGAUCAUGUCGAAAAUAAAGAAUUUGAAGACACAAUAAUUAAAGCAUCAUUUGAGAAAGAAGAACCUGAGAGUGAAGCGAUGGAAGAAGAGAAUGAGACAAAUUUGAAUAAUGAGCUGGAGGAUAAGGAUGUGGAAGAAAAGAGUGCACACUCAGAAGUUACUAGUCAAUUGGACGUCACAUCAUCUAAUCCUGCUACUGUCAGAACUUUUACAAGGAAAAAGGUUGCCAAAAAGGUUCAAGUCACAAAAACUGCUAAAGAAACAUCAUAUACAAAGUCCAAGUUGGAAGCAGAGUGCAAACCAAAGGUCGAAAAUGCAAAGACCAAGAAAAAAGAAACUCAAGUUGUGGAAGGUAUUGAAUGGGUUAAUAUGGAGAAGUAUUUUGAUCAAAAUGAGUUCAGAAAUAAUGAAAUGGAGAAGAAAUACAAGCAUGUAAAAUGUGAGAAGCUAGUUAUAAGCAAGAUCAAGAAGAACAAAUGGAAACUUCAAGCAUUUGUGUCAUAUACAUCAAUGGAGAUGACAAAAGAGUUUCUUGCGUUUGAAGGAAUCGGAAGAUCAAAAUGUUUUACGACAUUAUGAAGAAUAAAUUUGGUUUACGGGAGGCCUUGUUAGCAUCUAAACCAAAUAUAUUCUAGAUUAUUCAAGAAAUAUAUUAAUUAAUAUUAGUACAUGAAUUAGUGAUAUCUAAGUACAUGAAUGUAUUUAAAUUGUCUUGGAACAUGUAAUGGUUAGGUUCAUGUACAUGAAUGUGGUCAUGUAGUAAUUAUUAUUGUGGAUCUAGAAGUAUCCUAUGAGUCCUAUAGAUAGUCUUGUACUUGGAUCAUUUUAAUCAAGUGAAAUUAAAGUAUUCUUAAGUGUUCUUCAAAGUUAUAUUUCACUUCUUUUAUAAUUUAUCAUCUUCCAUAAAUUUCCAACAAACACAGCUUUUGCUCAUAUGCAAAGUGUCUAGACAAAAGUAAUCUUACCAAACAACACUCUGUAAGUAAAUUAUACAUGAUAUAACUCGUAUGAUUUCCAGUUCAUUAAGUCAUGUUGUGGUCCAAAAUAUGCAUCCUUUGAGGCUGAAUUUGAAAUAACAUACAAAGACAGGCACACAACAUACAAAGACAGGCACACAACGCACAAAUAUAUCAAGAUUUCAGCAGCUGAAUCCUUUGUAAUUAUAAACAUCAGAAUCAGAUUCAUAAUACUCAUACCAACAGAGUAAAAUUCUAGCCAACCUUGUGACAAACAAACAAACAUAAAAAGUAAAUAACUGCAAUGAAAAUCAAAUUAUUUCUAACAUAAAGGCCACAAUCUGUAGCAAUUCCAUAAGGAAAUUGCUUUUCUUGAACCAACUUAAUUAAUUUGGAAAAAAGAGUCCAUAAAGUCGUGAAAUCCUAAAAUUAAAAAUGGUAUGAUUCAAAUAAGUUUUGCAAACAAUAAAUUUUGUGAUAGUAAUACUUGUUAGAUAAUUUAUACUAAUUACAUUUGUAUUAAAUAAAAUGAAUUAAUAUCGAUUUCGCAAACUACAUUAAAAGUAAAAAUGGGACCUUUUUUGUGGAAGGAAGGGAGUAUUUUACCCUUAUAGUUGCACCAGAUCUUCAACUUCUAAUCUAUCACUAGUCUAUUAUUAUAUAACAAAAAAGAUGAAAACAGUGCUUCAAAACUCAAAAAAGUGUAUUCUUCACCUGGAAAUUAGAAGAAUAACUUGAUGCAACUGAGCACACAGGCAACAUUGUCAUUUAAGUUUUAUAUGUUCAAUCCAACAAAAUAUUCAGCAAGCCCUCAUCUUUUUUCUUCAACCCCACAAAUUGCAAAUAUAAAAAUAAAGCCUACCACUCAAAACUGUUCAAGUUCACAAAAAAUUUACAAAAUCCAUCAAAUUUCACGACCUUCAAAUAAAUUCAUGAGAUGGGUUUUAGGAAAUUCACAUGUGACAGAUGAAGCAAAUACUUUCGGCCUAAAGCUUUUCAGGGUGAAGAUUUUACAAAUUUGAAAAUAUGGUUUUGGAUAUUGUUUGAGAAUUUCUCCAAACUAACAGACCACAAUCUCGAACACAACUCAUCCAUACAGAUUGCACAAAACAUUAUUUGUAUAUAUCACAAAUUUCAGAGAUUAAACUAAUUCAAUGAUCGUUAAACUAGUAAAACAUUGAAAUGAAUUACCUGGAUGACCAGAAUUGACGGAUCGAGCGCAGGGGGAGAGCAAAUCAGAGAAGAUUGCUAUGAAAAUGUUUACGUUAGA
rnacentral:lncRNA from 1 species